rnacentral:lncRNA from 1 species
AGGGCGUCCAUGCAGUCCAUGUGGAAGCCAGCCUCAGCAGGAGAGCCGCGCAUUGCCAAAGGCAGGGAGAAUAACAAACCAGGUGCCAUCCAGAGUCUACAGGAAAGCUUCAGUCUUUCCAAGGAAAAUUAAAAAACGAAUAACCAGAUUACACAUUCUGAGUUUUGCUCCCUGUGGACUUCUGUUGAAUCCUGGAUGAGGAAAGAAGAAAUGGGUUUCCACGGACCUAUCAAUGAUACUCAUCACAGGUGUCUGUCUCCUGCCUAUGGAUGCAGAUGUAAAGCUCCCAAGUAUUGCUCCAGUACCAUGCCUG